GAGCCACGUGGUUUAGGCCAAGGUGUCCCUGCCCAUGGCAGGGGGCAGUGGACUACAUGGCCUUUAAAGGUCCAUUGCAACCCAAAAUAUUCUAUGAUUCUAUAAUUUUGUAUUCCUUAAUAUUUCAGAAUAUUAAAACAAAAUUCA